rnacentral:tRNA from 1 species
GAGGGUAUAGCUUAAGUGGUAGAGCACCUGCUUAGCAUGCAUGAGGUCCUAGGUUUAGUCCCUAGUACCUCCA